AAUUCUCAACUCCCUAUUUUUAUUAAUGGGCGAGCUUGGACUUGGAGGUCGUGUCGGCUCUUGUAGUCGACUCCUCUUAAAUGUAUUAGCGUGAAUCUUACGGAUCGCCUUCAGUGUGAUAAUUAUCUGCGCUGUGGUGUUGAAGUAUUUCAUAGUUCGUGCUUACAACCGUCUCGCAAGAGACAACUUUGACA
rnacentral:misc_RNA from 1 species